CAACAGAUCUGAGCCCCGAACACAUGGAGUACAUUCCUUAUAUAGCACUAUAGUGCCUCCCAUAAAUAGCUACACCCACACAUACCAUUAACCAAUCAAUGAACAGAGUCUAGACUUGUUCAUCCGGUCUAACCACGUGGCUCAUCCGAAACAAAGGAGAAGGGAGUGUGAUUUUAGUUCCUACAUUCCUGCACCUGCUCAGUACAUUGAUGACAGUAUCUUAGCUACGUGUAACUAACUGAUACUACAAACACAUGUACCUACAUAUGCCACGUGACAAUCUUGGCCUACUAAACUUUUAUUUUACUGGAAUUCCAUCACAAAACUAAUGAAACUUUCUGUGUUCUAUUAAAAAUGUUUUAUGACUGCCUUCUUCUUGGCGACCUUGAGUGGCGGACAUGUUUCCUUCUGCUAAAACAACUAUUAAUGCAUGGGACAUUUUGUGUAAAUUGUAAAGAUGAUUCUGACACUCGUAUUUUAAAUGAAAUGGUACAACUGUUGCAUGAACAUUGUAAUGUUUCUGACCAGGAUUCGGACUUCAAACAAUUGGCAAUAUCAAAUUUAAAAAAAUAUAUAUUUUUCCAGUCCUGGACAAAAACGUCCCAUCUUCUUAUGCUAUACCUAUUUUGCUGGUGAGGUAGGCCCUAAAUUGGAUUGCAUGCUGAAAUGGGAGAGUGAGCUGGGUUGGGAAUUUGAAGUUGAAGACUGGCAUACCUCUUUACUAACAUGGAAGGCAUUGCACAAUGUACAUCACACAUAGAAACACAUUACAAACUAAUAUACAGAUGGUACCUUACACCUUCUAGACUGUUUAAAU